rnacentral:rRNA from 1 species
GAUGAACGCUGGCGGCGUGCUUAACACAUGCAAGUCGAGCGAGAAGUUUUGAAAAGAUUCUUCGGAUGAAAUUUAAAAUGGAAAGCGGCGGACGGGUGAGUAACGCGUAGGCAACCUGCCCCAUACAAAGGGAUAGCAUUUGGAAACGAAUAUUAAUACCUUAUGAAACUUAACUAGUGCAUGCUAGGUAGGUCAAAGAUUUAUCGGUAUGGGAUGGGCCUGCGUCUGAUUAGCUAGUUGGUGAGGUAACGGCUCACCAAGGCGACGAUCAGUAGCCGACCUGAGAGGGUGAACGGCCACAUUGGAACUGAGACACGGGCCAAACUCCUACGGGAGGCAGCAGUGGGGAAUAUUGCACAAUGGGGGAAACCCUGAUGCAGCAACGCCGCGUGAACGAUGAAGGCCUUUGGGUCGUAAAGUUCUGUUCUAGGUGAUGAAAACUGACAGUAACCUAGGAGAAAGCCCCGGCUAACUCCGUG